rnacentral:rRNA from 1 species
AAAUUGAAGAGUUUGAUCAUGGCUCAGAUUGAACGCUGGCGGCAGGCCUAACACAUGCAAGUCGAACGGUAACAGAAAGCAGCUUGCUGCUUUGCUGACGAGUGGCGGACGGGUGAGUAAUGUCUGGGAAACUGCCUGAUGGAGGGGGAUAACUACUGGAAACGGUAGCUAAUACCGCAUAACGUCGCAAGACCAAAGAGGGGGACCUUCGGGCCUCUUGCCAUCGGAUGUGCCCAGAUGGGAUUAGCUAGUAGGUGGGGUAAAGGCUCACCUAGGCGACGAUCCCUAGCUGGUCUGAGAGGAUGACCAGCCACACUGGAACUGAGACACGGUCCAGACUCCUACGGGAGGCAGCAGUGGGGAAUAUUGCACAAUGGGCGCAAGCCUGAUGCAGCCAUGCCGCGU